AGCGAACGCUGGCGGCAGGCUUAACACAUGCAAGUCGAACGGGCGUAGCAAUACGUCAGUGGCAGACGGGUGAGUAACGCGUGGGAACGUACCUUUUGGUUCGGAACAACCCAGGGAAACUUGGGCUAAUACCGGAUAAGCCCUUACGGGGAAAGAUUUAUCGCCGAAAGAUCGGCCCGCGUCUGAUUAGCUUGUUGGUGAGGUAACGGCUCACCAAGGCGACGAUCAGUAGCUGGUCUGAGAGGAUGAUCAGCCACAUUGGGACUGAGACACGGCCCAAACUCCUACGGGAGGCAGCAGUGGGGAAUAUUGGACAAUGGGCGCAAGCCUGAUCCAGCCAUGCCGCGUGAGUGAUGAAGGCCCUAGGUUGUAAAGCUCUUUUGUGCGGGAAGAUAAUGACGGUACCGCAAGAAUAAGCCCCGGCUAACUUCGUGCCAGCCGCCGCCGUAAG
rnacentral:rRNA from 1 species